GACGAACGCUGGCGGCGUGCUUAACACAUGCAAGUCGAGCGGUAAGGCCCUUUCGGGGGUACACGAGCGGCGAACGGGUGAGUAACACGUGGGUGACCUGCCCUCAGCUCUGGGAUAAGCCUGGGAAACCGGGUCUAAUACUGGAUAUGACUCCAUGACGCAUGUUGUGGGGUGGAAAGCCUUGUGCGGCUGAGGAUGGGCCCGCGGCCUAUCAGCUUGUUGGUGGGGUGANGGCCUACCAAGGCGACGACGGGUAGCCGGCCUGAGAGGGCGACCGGCCACACUGGGACUGAGACACGGCCCAGACUCCUACGGGAGGCAGCAGUGGGGAAUCUUGCGCAAUGGGCGAAAGCCUGACGCAGCGACGCCGCGUGAGGGAUGACGGCCUCGGUUGUAACG
rnacentral:rRNA from 1 species